rnacentral:tRNA from 1 species
GCAGUGGUGGUUCGGUGGCGGAACUCUCAUCUUCCAAGCAGGGGACCCAGGUUGGAUUCCUGACCAAUGCA